rnacentral:rRNA from 1 species
UACGUAGGAGGCGAGCGUUGUCCGGAGUUACUGGGCGUAAAGGGUGCGCAGGCGGCGGUUCGCGUGGCGAGAUGAAAUCUCCUGGCUUACCUGGGAGGAUGGUCGCCAGACGGGAUCGCUUGAGGGUCGGAGAGGGGCGUGGAAUUCCGGGUGGAGCGGUGAAAUGCGUAGAGAUCCGGAGGAACACCGGUGGCGAAGGCGGCCUGCUGGGCAGUGGCUGACGCUGAGGCGCGACAGCGUGGGGAGCAAACAGG